UGAAAGCAAAGUACUACCCAUUUAGAUUUCUUGCAAGCAAGGUUGGGGAAGUUACCAUCCUUUACCUGGAAAAGCUUAUGGUCAGCGAAAGGUCUACUUGAGAAAGGGAUGGGUUGGAGAGUAGGGUCUGGAAAGCAGAUAUUGAUUUGGAAUGAAGCAUGGGUCCCGGGCACUGAAGAUUAUAAGAUUCAAUCAUCAUAUUUUAAUUAAAAUUUAGUUUAUGUUUCGGACUUAGUUGAACAACAUUGAAAGAGUCAAUAAGAAGUACCUUUCAUCCCAAAGACGCUGAAAGGAUUCUGUGCAUUCCCCUACCCGUUGAGAAAGAAGCUGAUAAAGAUGGUGUGGCGAGACGAAGCCUCGGGGGUUAACACAGUUCGAAGUAGUUACAAAACAUUAUUAUAGAAUGAUCGGGACACAAAUUUACAAUUCAAUCAAAGUCACUAUAAACUUAUGCACAAAAAGCUAUGGCAUGUGGAGUGACCCUCAAAAACAAAAAUCAUGGUAUGGAAAACCAUUAAUAAUUUUCUACUUACUCAAACUAAUCUAUUCCAUCACAAACUGGUAAGCUUAGCAAACUAUAUGAGAUGUCUAAGGAGUGAAGAGUCGACAAAGCAUGUGUUUAGAGACUGUCCAUUCGCAAAUGAUGUUUGGACCAGACUAGGAAUCGGGUGGUCCCUGAAGCAAAAUCAACUACAGUAUAAGGAUUGGAUUCAGAAUUUAUUUGAAAGAGAGUCUAACCAAAGAAUUAGAACAAUAGUGUGUGCAAUAUGGGCAUUGUGGACAGACAGGAAUAAACUUCUUCACGAAAGGAAGAUGCAAACAAGUGCUAAUCUGACUCAUUUCAUCAUCGACUAUUUGCGAGAGUUAGAUGGGGUUAAUAAGAGAUUACCUAUCAGCAAACUGGUGAAUGAAAGCUGGAGACCACCAGAGGAUAUCAAUGUUAAAAUCAACUUUGAUGCUGCAUUUGACAAGCAACAUAAAAGGUCAUGCACAGUAAUAGUGAUUAGAAACUCUAGUGGUCACGUUUUAAAAACAAAAGUUCAUAAUAACAGACACAUACCAUCGACGUUUGCUGCAGAAGCUCUCGUUUGUGUUCAAGCGGUCAGGUUUGGGGCGGAGUCGGGGUUUUUGAGAGUUGAGGUCGAAGGAGACAAGCUAUCAGUUAUUAAGAAGAUACUUUGCGAGGAUGAUGACAGAUCUGAAAUUAGGUCUUACAUUUUAGAUGCUAAAAGAUUAAAGAGUAACUUUAUUAAUUGUAGAUUUAAGCAUGAAGGAAGACGAAUGAACAGAGUAGCACAUAUUUUAGUGAAAGAAGGGCUAAGUGAUGAAGGGAAUGCUUAUCUGGUUAAUGGUCUCUCCAAAUAUGCAGCCUAGGCUGUGAAGGAGGAUAAACGAGAAGGAGGAAUGGAUAACUGUCAGGCCCGGAGUAGGAACAAGGAAGCAAUGAGAUUUUGUUCUGAAACAGUUCAGAACGAAAUUUUUUGAAACGAGUUUUUUGACAUUUUGAGAAUCGAAGAGAGUUUUUGGGUGAAGGCAUUCCUGUUCCAAGUUGCUAAACACUGGUGCAACUAAUUAACGAGUUAAUUCGCUCAUGGUAGGGAUGCCUGAAUCAGAGGUGGGUUUGGUUUGUUGACGGAUUUUUCUAGAGCUUGGAAAUGAAGAAAUGGUGAAGAGAAGAAAAUGGUUAGUCAAAAUGAUGACUAGCUGUGAGUAGAUGUUAGGGUCUUGGUAGGAUAUUUGUUUGUUCAGGGACUGGGUUUUUUUGACAUUUUAGGAUUGGGCUUGUUUUGCUUUUCUUUUAUGGUUGGUUUGAAUUUUUUUUUCUUUAGUUGAUAUUAAUGAAG
rnacentral:lncRNA from 1 species